rnacentral:rRNA from 1 species
CCUACGGGUGGCAGCAGUGGGGAAUAUUGCGCAAUGGGCGAAAGCCUGACGCAGCGACGCCGCGUGAGGGAUGAAGGUCUUCGGAUCGUAAACCUCUGUCAGCAGGGAAGCACGGUCACUGUGCUAAUCAGCAGUGCAUUGACGGUACCUGCAAAGGAAGCACCGGCUAACUCCGUGCCAGCAGCCGCGGUAAGACGGAGGGUGCGAGCGUUAAUCGGAAUUACUGGGCGUAAAGCGCUCGUAGGCGGUAUGUCAAGUCAAGGGUGAAAUCCCCGCGCUCAACGUGGGAACUGCCUUUGAAACUGGGAAACUGGAGUGUGGUAGAGGGUAGUGGAAUUCCAGGUGUAGGAGUGAAAUCCGUAGAUAUCUGGAGGAACAUCAGUGGCGAAGGCGACUAUCUGGCACAUAACUGACGCUGAGGAGCGAAAGCGUGGGUAGCAAACAGGAUUAGAUACCCCUGUAGUC